GGAGAGGUGUCUGAGUGGUCGAAAGAGCCUGAUUCGAAAUCAGGUGUACGGUAACCCCGUACCGUGGGUUCGAAUCCCACCCUCUCCGCCA
rnacentral:tRNA from 1 species